rnacentral:lncRNA from 1 species
AUGCCAAAAAGAAAGUUUCUUGCCACUACGUCUGCUGUCACUGGAGCUGACAGGGGCACAUGGACCAGGGAUGGGUACUUGAGCAGAAGCCAGAAUCUACAAAGAAGAGUUUGUGCGGAACUUACCUGCAGUGUUGGGAAUGAGUCCCGUGUGCCUAGCGAGGUGUUGCAUACCUCAGCGCUCGGGUGUGAGGGGUGGAGGCGCCCCUCUCCAGAGUUCCCUGAAACGGCACAAACUCCAAGCCUUCGUGAUUCACUGACAUUUUCUGGGGGACCCAGGCCUUGCUAAUGUUAAAACUUGUUCGUCUUCAUUGAAAUAGUAUGACAACUCCCUUAAUGUAGUGCAGUAUUUUGGUAAAUGGUGUUAAGUAGUAAAAAAAAAACCCUAUCUUUAACCCAACGAAUAAAUUUUUUUGUCAUCAUCCAAAACAUUGUAGAUUUGUAAAACCAAAAUUACUGUCAGUUUGCUAUGCACAUAUUUGGAACAAUUUUUUGCUUUCGGGGGUGGGUUUUUAUUUUAUCAUUGUAUAGUCAAAAUGUCUAGCUUGACUCCGUUUUGCUGUCAUUUAUUAUGAACCGUCAUUCCUCGUGUCGCAACAUGCUCAAUUCUAUUACGCUUGACUUUACAAUUCUUCAGGGGAACAUAUGAAUACCUACUGUUUCUGACCCUCCUAUUUUAAAAAGUGUUACUGGAUGGAUAUUUACAUUUAAAAGCUAGGAUUUUAAUAUUGUUUAGAAAAAACCUUUAAUAAGUAAAAUGAAUUAUAUUUAAGGUUGAAUUUGCUCUAAAUUAACUUAAUCGUGAUAUCAAAGCUUAUGUGCUUUCAGUUCCUACUUGGUUAAAUUUUCUCAUUGG